rnacentral:tRNA from 1 species
GGUGAGGUGUCCGAGUGGCUGAAGGAGCACGCCUGGAAAGUGUGUAUACGGCAAACGUAUCGGGGGGUUCGAAUCCCCCCCUCACCGCCA